rnacentral:rRNA from 1 species
UACAGAGGUCCCAAGCGUUGUUCGGAUUCACUGGGCGUAAAGGGUGCGUAGGCGGUCGGGUAAGUCUGAUGUGAAAUCUCACAGCUUAACUGUGAAACUGCAUUGGAUACUAUCCGGCUAGAGGAAUGGAGGGGAGACUGGAAUACUUGGUGUAGCAGUGAAAUGCGUAGAUAUCAAGUGGAACACCAGUGGCGAAGGCGAGUCUCUGGACAACUUCUGACGCUGAGGCACGAAAGCUAGGGGAGCAAACAGG